rnacentral:rRNA from 1 species
UGGGGUAACGUCCCAACAAGCCGAUAAUCGGUACGGGUUGUGAGAGCAAGAGCCCGGAGAUGGAUUCUGAGACACGAAUCCAGGUCCUACGGGGCGCAGCAGGCGCGAAAACUUUACACUGCGCGAAAGCGCGAUAAGGGGACCUCGAGUGCGUGCGCAAAGCGUACGCUUUUCAGAUGCCUAAAAAGCAUCUGGAAUAAGGGCCGGGCAAGACCGGUGCCAGCCGCCGCGGUAACACCGGCGGCUCAAGUGGUGGCCGCUAUUAUUGGGCUUAAAGGGUCCGUAGCCGGACCAGUUAGUCCCUUGGGAAAUCUUACGGCUUAACCGUAAGGCUGCCAAUGGAUACUGCUGGUCUUGGGACCGGGAGAGGCAAGAGGUACCUCAGGGGUAGGAGUGAAAUCCUGUAAUCCUUGAGGGACCGCCAGUGGCGAAGGCGUCUUGCUAGAACGGGUCCGACGGUGAGGGACGAAAGCUAGGGGCACGAACCGGAUUAGAUACCCGGGUAGUCCUAGCCGUAAACGAUGCGAGCUAGGUGUCACGUGGAUUGCGAAUCCAUGUGGUGCCGAAGGGAAACCGUGAAGCUCGCCGCCUGGGAAGUACGGCCGCAAGGCUGAAACUUAAAGGAAUUGGCGGGGGAGCAC